rnacentral:rRNA from 1 species
UUUCACAAUGGGCGCAAGCUGGAUGGAGCSKACGGCGYGURGRGGAUGAAUGGSUUCGGCCCCGUAAACCCCUGUCAUUUGCGAACAAACCUUGCUAUUUAAAAGAUGGCGAGCUGAUUGUAGCGAAAGAGGAAGGGACGGCUAACUCUGUGCCAACAGCCGCGGUAAUACAGAGGUCCCAAGCGUUGUUCGGAUUCACUGGGCGUAAAGGAUGCGUAGGUGGUGAGGUAAGUCGGAUGUUAAAGCUCCGGGCUCAACUCGGAAAUGGCAUUGGAAACUACCUUGCUCGAGGAUUUGAGGGGGGACUGGAAUACUUGGUGUAGCAGUGAAAUGCGUAGAUAUCAAGUAGAACACCAGUGGCGAAGGCGAGUCCCUGGGAAAAAUCUCUGACACUGCCACAUGAAAGCAUAGGGGAGGAAACAGGAUUAGAUGGCCURGUAGUCCUARCCGUAAACGGUCCGUAUUUGCUGUARAAGGAAUCGACCCCCUUUUGUGGCGUAGCCAACCCGUUAAAUACCCCCCCUGGGAAGUACGGUCGCAAGAUUAAAACUCAAAGAAAUUGACGGGGGCCUGCACAAGCGGUGGAGUAUGUGGCUUAAUUCGAUGCAACGCGAAGAACCUUACCUGGCCUUGACAUGCAAGUAGUAGAACCAUGAAAGUGGGACGAGAUAGCAAUAUCAGCUUUGCACCAGGUGCUGCAUGGCUGUCGUCAGCUCGUGUCGUGAGAUGUUGGGUUAGAGUCCCGCAACGAGCGCAACCCUUGUGUCCUGUUGCCACUCGAACGAGAGUUCGAAGMACUCUGGACAGACUGCCUCGCUUAAACGGGGAGKAAGGUGGGGAUGACGUCAAGUCAGUAUGGACCUUACGGCCAGGGCUGCACACGUACUACAAUGCCCGGCACAGAGGGUAAGCGAGACCUUAAGGUGGAGCAAACCCCAGAAAACCGGGCCCUAGUCAGAUUGUCGUCUGCAACUCGRCGGCAUGAAGCUGGAAUCGCU